CAAUAAUAAUAAUAACAAUAUAAAAUGAAUAAUUAAACGGAGGACAAACUAGAGGGGAAACUAGACUCCAUUCUGGGGUUUCAAGAUCGAUCUCAAAGCUCUAUGAUCCUUUUGUGGUGCAGCUAAACUGGAGUUUCGACGUUAAGGUUCUCUGGCGGAUUCAACUCCAAGGAUUUAGAUUACCUAUGCUCUAAUUUGCUCUACUUUCACUUUUUUUAACACUAGUUUUUCACUCUCUUUCUUCUAAUUUUCGACCUUCAAAACUUGUUCCCAAAUUCUCUUCUAAAAAAAAACUUCAUUGUCUUUUUUUUUUUCAAGUUUUUCCUUUCUCCGAUUUUCCACCUCUUUCUCUCAGAUCUUCAACCUUUUUUUUCGCUCUUGUUAAACUCCCUUUUUUUUUAUCUUCUUCUGAUUCUUUCUAGUUUUUUCUCAUCCUGAAACUUCUUACGAUCUUUUAAACACACAUUUUUUUUCUUAAUCUUGAACCCCUUUUCUGUUUUUCCAACCCUUGUCCUCAAUGGGUGAACAACACCCAUAUUUAUACAUGCCAAACUCGGACUUCAAAGUCCGUAUUUGAAACCUUGAAAUAAAAAAAUGGGAAGGAGGGAGGACGAAAAAUUUGAAUUCAAUAAAAGAAUCUUCCAAAUCUCAGCUCUUUCCAUGCCAUUAAUGGCGGACUUGAAACUGAAAGCCUAUUAUAACACCAAUUUGGGCCUGUUUUUCCCUUCUCUUGAAGGAUUUGCGAACUGGAGGGUCGAUUUUAGAGAGAUUCUCACAGGGUAGCGGCAGGCGGCCAGCUAGCCAUAGGAGUGCUAGGGUUACGAUUUUGGCAUAAGGGAGAAGGGGAGAAAGAAGAGAGAGAAAAAGAGUUUUGGUUCUUGUAUUGAUUUGAGAAAGAAGAUGGAGAGAAGACGAUGGUUUUUG
rnacentral:lncRNA from 1 species